GUAGAAGAAGUAGGCUAGACGAAACAUGGUGAAUCUCCGAGUUGGGCUAUUGAUUUUUCCCAUGCCAGCAUUGUCUUUUUCACUCGUCAAUUUCACCUGCCUGAAGUAAAUAAAAGGAGCAAGGCGCUCAUCGUCCUGGCUCGUGAAUUCGAGUUUGGCUUGCUGUUAAACUGUGUCAACGUACUGGAAGUGCACAACACAUGGGGAGAACAGUAUACAGGCAAGAUGCAAUUUAUGCUGAAAGACGCUCAGGUUAGGGACCAUGGGGGGUGAAAGCUGUUGAAUCUCACAUGAAAUGUCAAAUUCACAGUACGCAGCAGCAACUAGUGGGGCUGUGUAAAUGCCUGUAUUAUUUGCACAUAGCAACCCUGAAUGUUCAGACUCCCUAGCAACUUCUCAGCAGUCAGCUUUGAGCAGCAUUGUGUCACCGCCAAGACACAAAGGGCUGAGGUGCUGUGGGUUCUCCACACAGUGAGCAGACACCAUUCAAAUCGAAUGAUGACAUACAUAGUGGCUUUGCUCCUAUGUUCUCUGAUUCGGAAUAAAUCAGAAUAUGAAAAUACAACCGCCAAAUAUGGCAGUGCCUCGUUCAUUAAAAGAGCUCUAUUGCACAGUGUUAGUAAGAAACCCUAUGUGAUAAUGUUUGAUGAGUGCAUGAAUAUAAUUACAAAGAGCAAGCAAAUGGAUCUCCAACUGAGGUACUGGACCACUCAUGAGAAGGGCACCCAUGUGAUCUCCCGCUAUUACACAUCGCAAUUUAUGGGUUGGAUCAUUUCCAUGAAGUUACAACAGAGCUGGAUCUGAGCAACAUGCUCCCUCUGUCAGUGGAUGGGCCCAGUGUUAACUGGAAGUUUCUUGAGCACUUGCAGGAGGAACACAGAGAGCAGUGUGGAGGAGAUUACAGAUUGUUAGUUGUUGGGGCCUUCACAUGAUGCACAACUCGCUCAAGAAUGGCUUUGCAGUGUAACAAAUUGAGAAGGUCCUCAGAACCCUGCACUACCUGUUUAAUUGUGCACCUGCAAGGAGGGAAGACUUCAGGUUGCUGACCAAGUGUGAUACAUUUCCUCAUUCAUUUUGUGGGCAUUGUUGACUGAAAAACCUGCCAGCAGUGAAAAGGUCAAAGCCAAGAAGUUCCCUAACCCAAGUUUGUCAUCAUA